rnacentral:rRNA from 1 species
UGGGGAAUAUUGCACAAUGGGGGAAACCCUGAUGCAGCGACGCCGCGUGAGUGAAGAAGUAUUUCGGUAUGUAAAGCUCUAUCAGCAGGGAAGAAAAUGACGGUACCUGACUAAGAAGCCCCGGCUAACUACGUGCCAGCAGCCGCGGUAAUACGUAGGGGGCAAGCGUUAUCCGGAUUUACUGGGUGUAAAGGGAGCGUAGGUGGCAUGGCAAGUCAGAAGUGAAAACUGGGGGCUCAACCUCCAGACUGCUUUUGAAACUGUCAAGCUAGAGUGCAGGAGAGGUAAGUGGAAUUCCUAGUGUAGCGGUGAAAUGCGUAGAUAUUAGGAGGAACACCAGUGGCGAAGGCGACUUACUGGACUGUAACUGACACUGAGGCUCGAAAGCGUGGGGAGCAAACAG